ensembl:lncRNA
CCCCUGUCUCGACAAGCACCACUUUAUGUACUUUUCCCGUAGCUGAGCAACAUCCAACUGCAAAACAUCUUCAAGUAACACUGACUUCAGAUACCUGUGCACUCCCUCAUCUGCAAUAAACAAGGAGCCAAUCCGAGGGAAGACAGAGAGUCGAGGAAAAGCAGAAGGGAUGGGUUAGAUAUGGAAAAAAUGUAAAAAUAGAUGGAUCAAAUGAAAAGAAAAAGGAACUUCUACCCCUGAGGGGGGCUCCACAACCUCACAGGAGCCGGUGAGGCAAAGAACAAAAUAUCCAGCAACAAGGAAAAAAUGUAGAAGAACGCUAACAAUGGAAUAACAAGAGAAGAAAGGAGUGACGGAGAUCCAGGGAUUUGUCAAUUUCCUUUUGGAGCUUACUGGAUGUUUCAACCAUGAACUUGAGUUUGACCUUUGCCUCCUUUCUUUUCCUGAGUCUUCACUCUUGUACAGAAAAGCUUUGUGAGCUGCUGAAAUGCCACAGUCCAGUGGGAUCUUGGUGCCAGGGAGUUCUGGAAAAUGGAGUACUCGUCCCCAAGUGCGUUUGUCCUCAGUCCUGUCCAAGCCUCCUGGACUGGUUUCUGUUCCUGAGUCGUAUGGGGGAGUCCAACACACCUGAUACUCCGCCCCAGAUCUGCCUUAGCCACGCCCACAAGACACAACUAGCACGGAACAAGUCGUGUUUUUCCUCCUUACCCCUUUAAUUACUCAGUGUGGUCCACAUCAAUGAAAUGUAAUACUGAAUACACUGUAGCUGGAAGAAGAAUAUGAGAUCACUUUCACUCCCAUUGUAACCAGACACGGAAAAUGAAGUACUUCCUUUAUACACUGUCAUCGGAACUGCGCUUCAUGCAUUGUCCAGCAAAGAGAUCAAUGGUAACAACCUACAGUAAGUGUCAAGUUCUUGUGUUACUCGUGGUGUGGUCGUCCACAGAAUCAGACAGGGGCUCAAGAACACUAUUUAUGAGAAGGAUUUGGUCAAUAUUCACUAAAUAAUUCACAGAGGUGACUUAACAUCCUUUCGCCAGCCACCUUGACGUCCAUACCCUCCAAUCAAUUAAAAGAAAAGUUGUUCAUAAAUUUAUAUUAUUAUUAUUUUAAACAUUAUAAUAAACAAACAUUUUUGCGGCACUUUAUACAUACUAGUUUAUAUUCUGGCUUCAUUCAAGAUUUUUUUCAUUUACUCUUCCACGGAAUGAACUUUCUAUUUAAAUGUGUUCAAACAUGCAUGAAAUGACAACUAUGCUGAUGUUUAGCAGGAAUGUUCCCUAGUUUAGGUUGUCGGCAUGCUAACUUUUGCUCAUUACCUGUAGGCCACAACGGUAAUAAGAAUGUCACAAAUGUUGCAGGUAUUUAGUCAUGCAAGUUUGACCUAAUGGCAGCAUUGCACAAAAAGUACAAUUUCAUGGCAACGCACUCAGCUGCAGACCGACAUUGCCCAGCAAUGCAUUCCUAUUUAUUGUCUUUCCCUGUAAAUUCUAAUAAGCACUGCGAACAAUGAUAGAUUACACAACUUGUUUCCACUAUCACUUUUUAUCUCUCUUGUUUUAUUUCUUCAGCCCUACCUUACCCUAUUGGAUAAGAACAAGCUGAGCCACAGGGACCUGAGGAAGCUGUGAUACAAAAUGAUGCCACCGGAGCACCGGGCUUCAUCAAUCUCUCAGUCAGUCCCACCUGCAAGCCUCCAAGGAAAUUAGCUUUUGAACAAACAAGUGACUUCUUUUUUUUUUAGAUGAUUAGCUCAGCUGGCUAAACUUUGAAUUCAUUAAAUGUAGGCAUGUUUUUUUUCCUAAAAAGUGAGAAGCGCAUAACACUCACAUAAUUCAACUAAUGAACUCACUUGUGUUGCAUGUGUUUUCAGGAAACCAACCGCAUGGAAGAAAAAAAGCAGUGAUUACAUGGCCUGUUGGAUAAGUAGUUGAAAUGAUGAUCCUAUACCAUAAGGGGACUGAGUAGUCAAUAAUGUUUGGGCAGUGCUGCUCACACUAAGGUUCACAAUGUGAACCUUCUGUCUCUUGCAAUAUGUUACUUCACUGCUAAUUACUGAAACACCGAGGGUUAAAAGUGUCACACGACGAUGCUUUUCGCCCCCGCUCUGUGACCAAGUUGCACCUCCCACCAUGCUGUUCUCUCUGCACGCCAUCUAUCUAUCCAUCCAUUCAUCGUCCAUGCCAACACCCGCUUCCUGUGUCCUCCUCCCCUCCGGUCUCACGACCGCACCAUCGCUCCAUCAUCUUACUCCUCCUCCACGUUGGAGCGCUUGUUUCCCCCUUCAGUGCUUCCUACUCUCAUCUUCAAAUAGACUUAUCCUCGGCCUCCUUUCCUGUCGAUCCUUUCUUCAUUUCCACUCGUUCUUUCCAUCUCUCCCCAUUCUUCAUCCUCCACUCUCCCAACCCCCUUUUUCCCUGCCAGUCUGCAGUGACAGGUUUUGUGGGAGUAGGACUGGCUGUGUCAAUGUCAAGCCAUUCCCAGCAAUGAUAAUGUUUAUUACCCACUGUGUCUCCCGCUGCCCAUGGAUUAACACAGAUUGAAGCAGUACCCUUCAGAGAUAACAUUGCAGGGUGAACGGAAAGACAAUGGCUGUCUAGCUAGCCCCGGUACCGUUGUUUUCAUACACUUUACACCGUCUCCAUGUGCAUCUCUGGUUGUGUAAUUGUGUAACAUGUGCAUGGGUUGAUAAGAGCUUGAAUGCAUCCCAUGUCAUGAGGUCACCAUGUGUUAUGCAGUGCUGUGUUUGCAGCUCAUGUAACCAUAAUGGGAACAGGAAGGUGACCCUGCGAGAGCGGACAACCUGUCUGGUGGAUCAAUUUAUGUCAGUCAUAACUUCUUCCUAAUGUUACCUUUAUUUCUCAUGGUGAGAAAUGAAGCUGCCCUUUUUCACUGUAUUGGUUUUACAAAUUAAAAGCAGCCCACCGAAUGUUAAACAAGACGAGAUACUUCAUGAUAUACUGUCCAAAUUCUACUCUUUAAUUGAGGUUAAAAUCAUGAACCUUCGGCUUCAAAAUAAUUAUUUCCUGUAGGUUGAUGACACAUCCUCACAACAUUUUUUCUACCAUCAUCUCUACCAAAUUGUUAUUAUUUGUUAUUUUGUUUGUUUUAUUGACAGCAAUGGGAUUAAGCUCCUGCAAGCUGUGUCCUACAAUCAGACGAAGAUACCUCUAACGUGAAAAAAAGGCAAUGAACUAACUCCUUUCUGCAUGUCUGCUGAACUGUAAAGAACUGGCUGGAGACAACAUCUCCACAAUUUAAUAGCCACUGGCUGGCCUCUCUACACACUCCCAUCUGUUUCACGCCAGUGUUGCAGCUCAUAACGUUGUGAUUUAUGACCACGUCAAAUUUGAAAGUGUUUGGCUUGUCUGCGCAUUCGUACGUGCACGUGCUGACCGCCAACCUCGUUAAUUACAUCAGCUGACAUUUGUAUAUUGUCUAUUGUAAAAGAGCAGAGACGAUCGUCAAUGACGAGUAAAAAAAAAAUGACACGGCCUGCAACUAUGAGGGACGACGACAGCAGCGCGGACGGACAGCGGGAUGUUCCCUGAAUGACAGACUAGAUGGGGGGAAACAUCCGCUUCGUACGGGAUGACGUGACCAGAGAGGAGACAAAGGGAUCAUGACGGGGAGAAGUGGUGGAAAGAGUCAUAAUGCACUAGAAGAGAGAGGGGAAGGGGGGAGGAGGGGAGACAAAGUGACCGAAGGAAGGAAGGAGAGAGAGAGAGAGAGAAGUAUAAAAGGUCUCAGAAAGAUGGAAGGAGGUAAUGCAUCGUAAAUGGCAUUGGAGUGUAAUGCAUAAAAAAUGGAUCAGAAAUGAGGGAAAGACUGAGAACGGAG